rnacentral:rRNA from 1 species
CAAUAAAUCCAAGAAUUUCACCUCUGACAAUUGAAUACUAAUGCCCCCAACUAUCCCUAUUAAUCAUUACGUCAAUCCUAGAAACCAACAAAAUAGGAUCGAACGUCCUAUUUCAUUAUUCCAUGCUAAUGUAUUCAAGCGUUAGCUUGCUUUAAACACUCUAAUUUUUUCAAAGUAACAGUCCAAAUUCCCCGCAACACCAAAUUAAUGGCAUUACGGCUCAUCAGGAAGGAGGAAUCAGUGAGACCAGUACAUACCAGAGGCAUGACCA